GACGUUUGCGUACGAAUACGCGCCAAGGUGAUAUCUACUUAGACCUUAGCUCUACGUUAGCGUUAGCUACUGAAAUGUCAUCUGCCAUACUCCGGAGAGGAUCUUGCACUUUAAAUAUGGCUACGGCACAUUAACAUGUGAAGAGCGCGACGUGGAAUCAGAGGAACUCUUGCACCUCACGCGCCCAUGGCCUCUUCAAAAAAGAAAAGAGAAAAGCCUCGCCCCGCAAGUCACGCAGUGUUUUGCCACAUUUCUUGUCAGCUGUUUUUCCCCAUCCCGCAUUGAGAAUUAAGUUGUGCAUAGCGAGAUUCUGUCCCUAAAAUGCAACGUUGCAAGCAAAAUGGCGUGUCAUUAUUGAAUGUUUUUUUUGGGGGGAGAAAGGGGGUCCCAAAAAUUCAAUUCGAUUCAGCUUUUGUGAUUGUUCUAUCCUACCUGUGCAAAACGUCCUACCGAUUUGACAGCCGAAGUACUACCGGGUCCGUGCGCUUUCAGAUUGUUUUGUUUAGACGCAUACAGACAGAACAUUUUUUGAAAAAAAAGGAAAAAAAAUCCUCGAAAAUAUUUACACGUCGACGCAGUUAAGCAAGUAUAGGACGUGCAGGAAAUUUAAAUAAUAUCCUUAGAGUAUACUUACGCAUAAGUAUAAGUUAGUAGAACGUUUUGACAUUUUAAAUUACAAAUUCAUACUAUUUUUUUCAUUGGUAUAAGCAGGUAGGACGUUCUGAGUGGACGUUGUGAGCAUGCGUGUGCAAGCGCACUGGGCAUUGGACAGAAAAAGAAUAUGCACAAUCCUGAGAAUGUACCUUUUCCCUUUAAUUUUUAUUGUGACAGUCCUAUAAAACUAAUUUGAGCAAUUUUGCUAUCACGCAAAAUAUAUUUAUUGACUUGUGGAACUUGUAACAGUGUACUGCGAAUAAAAUCAUAACCACAA